AGCAGUGUGGCUCAGUGGAAGGAGCCCGAGCUUGGGAGUCAGAGGUCGUGGGUUCGACUCCCACCUCUGCUG
rnacentral:tRNA from 1 species